rnacentral:rRNA from 1 species
UUCCAGACUCCUACGGGAGGCAGCAGUGAGGAAUAUUGGUCAAUGGGCGCGAGCCUGAACCAGCCAAGUCGCGUGAGGGAGGACGGCCCUACGGGUUGUAAACCUCUUUUGCCGGGGAGCAACGGGCGCCACGUGUGGCGCCACUGAGAGUACCCGGAGAAAAAGCAUCGGCUAACUCCGUGCCAGCAGCCGCGGUAAUACGGAGGAUGCGAGCGUUAUCCGGAUUUAUUGGGUUUAAAGGGUGCGUAGGCGGAAUGCCAAGUCAGCGGUAAAAUCGCGGGGCUCAACCUCGCUCCGCCGUUGAAACUGGCGUUCUUGAGUGGGCGAGAAGUAUGCGGAAUGCGUGGUGUAGCGGUGAAAUGCAUAGAUAUCGCGCAGAACUCCGAUUGCGAAGGCAGCGUACCGGCGCCAGACUGACGCUGAGGCACGAAAGCGUGGGGAUCGAACAGGAUUAGAUACCCGGGUAA